AACUCUCUUACAGUUAAAAAAACAUAUGGGGUCUUUAAUGGCUAAUUGAGCUUAAUUUUGAAUUUUUAUUUUAAUUAUGGCGGCUAAGAAGAAGAAGCAAAAUCAAAUUUCAAAGAAGAGUGGUAAAAAAAAGCAGCAACAGCAGCAGUUUUUGAGUGAAGAUGAUUAUCGACUUAGGCUUCAAGAGGGUUUGUAUUCACCUGAUUAUAUACUGGCUAAAAUUUUCAGAAAAGAUGGUCCUACACUUGGUGAUGAAUUUGAUCUUCUUCCUUCAAAUGCUUUUUCUAGCCAUAAGAAAGGUUCCAGAAUUUCUGGUCAAGCUAGACAAGAAAACCAAGGAGCGACUAAGAGGAGAAAGGUUUCUGUGCCUGCUACCAUGCAUCUCCAAGCUUUAUGUGAAAGUAAUCCUCCUGUGAAGAAGCAUGGUACUGGGAAAGGUCUGAUAACAAAAGACGUUUCGGUGAAAAAGCAUAGCGCUGGGAAACGUUUGAUGACUGAGAAGAGUGCUACUCUUAGAAAUCAUGGUAUGGGGAAGGGUUUGAUGACAGUUUGGCGGGCAACAAAUCCUCACGCUGGAGACAUCCCCAGUGGUGUUGGUUUUGGAGAGAGUGCUGAAGAGAGAAAGAAGAAGUUGCUGCAGCGACAGUCUAUUUUGAGAAAAAUAGAAAAGAAAUUGCAGGAUAAGAAGAGGAUUGGUGUGAAAUGCAGAAAGGCAGAGAAUAAAAGGAUUGAAAAGCAGAAGAUGCCUCGUAAGGAAAAAUGUGAACUUGCGCUGGAAUGGAGCAAGUGCCAAGAAGGAUUACCUAUCAAAAAAAGGAAGUGCCAACACGAGUUUACUCAGUUGGGGUCGCUAGUGGAUGAUGAGGAACUUGAGUUAAUGGAGAUGGAAGCAGGACCUAACUCAUUGACAUGCUGUACACACUUUGCAAGCAAUGGACUUCGUGGAUGUUCACUUUGCAAAGGUUUACUUCCAAAGUUUCCUCCCAAUUCAGUAAUAAUGAAGCUGCCUCUCUAUGAGCGACCAUGGGAUUCCUCUCCAGAGCUCGCCAAGAAACUGUUCAAGGUCUUCCACUUUCUUUGUACUUAUGCUGCAAGAAUUGAUAUCUGUUCCUUCACAAUUGAUGAGUUUGCACAAGCAUUUCAUGAAAAAGAUUCCUUGAUCCUUGGACAAGUUCAUUUAGCCUUUCUCAGGCUUCUUUUGGCAGAUGUUGAAAUUCAGCUUAACAAGGGAUUCAUUCAUCAAGCAAGCAGAAGUUGCAAUUUCUUGGGAUUGGUUCACUCAAUUGAACAUGAAGAAUUUAGUCUGGAACUCUGGAUUAGUUCUCUCAAUGCCUUAACAUGGACAGAGAUACUACGGCAAGUCUUGGUUGCUGCUGGUUUUGGGUCCAAACGUGGUAGAGUACCUGGAGAGGCUCUCUGCAAGGAACGUAGUUUGAUGGCCAAGUAUGGGUUAACCCGUGGUACACUGAAGGGUGAACUUUUUAGCAUUCUGCUAAUUAAAGGAACUGAUGGAAUGAAAGUUCAUGAGCUGGCAAAACUUCAAUCUAUUCUUGAAUUGAAUCUGGCAGCGACAACCAUUCAGCUAGAAGAUUUAAUAAGCUCAACCCUUUCUAGUGACAUUACCUUGUUUGAAAAGAUUUCAUCUUCAGGGUACCGUCUACGUAUUAAUCCUUCUUCACAGGAAUCUGAAAUUUGUUUCUCAGAUUCCGAAGGAGAUGACGCAGAGGUUAUUAGUGGAUACAUCAGAGAUAAUUCAGAAUGUGAGUCUCGCGAAUUAGUUCGAGCUGAAUCUGAACGGAGCUAUCAUCAGUUUGAAAAUAGGAACAGUCUGUCAACAGUAAAUACUGAAAUUGAUGAAAGCUACUCAGGAGAAGCAUGGUUGUUAGGGCUGAUGGAAGGUGAAUAUUCAGAUCUGGGCAUUGAAGAGAAGCUGAACGCCUUGGUGGCAUUGGUUGAUCUUCUUGUUGCUGCAUCCAGCAUCACUGAAAAGGAUCCGAUGCCAUCAGCUGUAGAAUGUGCUCCUGCAACGAUUCAUCAUGCUUCUGGUGGAAAAAUAAAAAGGUCAUCAGCAAAAUCAUCCUACUUGACUGGGCAUGCACAAAGUCAUAAUGGGCAACUUAGUAAUCAAGAUCCAACAGUGUCACUGGAACUUCAGCCAGUUGACUCUUCUUCAGUAUUAAUGUCAAAGCUCUGUGAGAAAAAUAAGUCACCUAGGACUGCAAAGAAUGCCAAAGAACUGAAAGCUGGGGAUGAGUUGCACCCUAUGCAGUCUAUCUUCCUCGGUUCUGACCGUAGGUACAAUAGAUACUGGAUUUUCUUGGGCCCUUGCAAUGAACUUGAUCCUGGGCACAGGAGGAUUUAUUUUGAAUCUUCUGAAGAUGGUCACUGGGAGGUGAUUGAUACUGAAGAGUCUUUAUGCUCUUUGUCGGCUGCCUUGGACCGUAGAGGUAUACGAGAGGCUCUUCUAGUUGCAUCUCUGGAGAAACGGGAAACCUUCCUAUGCCAAGCAAUGUCAAAUGUUCUGAAUGAUUCGGGAGAUAGCCAAUCACCUCGAUGUGGAAGGAGCUUUUCUAGGGAAGAUAGUUCAUCAUCUGCAAUUUCUGAUGUGGAUAACUUAAGCCUUGUUGAAGUGCACAAUGGUUCUAUUGGUCCGAAGGUGCCUGUAGGUAGGAAAGGAGAACAUCAGCAAGACAAAUGGAACAUCGCUCAAGCUUUUGACACAUGGAUAUGGAAAUCAUUCUAUUGUAAUCUUGCCGCUGUGAAACGUGGGAAAAGGUCUUAUCUUGAUUCACUUGCAAGGUGUGAACAAUGUCAUGAUCUAUACUGGAGGGAUGAGAAGCACUGCAGGAUUUGCCACACCACGUUUGAGCUUGAUUUUGAUCUUGAAGAAAAAUAUGCCAUUCAUACUGCAACAUGCAGGCAGAACCUAGAUCUUGAUAAGUUAUCAAAGCAUAAAAUUCUCCCAUCAGAAUUGCAGUCACUUAAAGCUGCAAUACAUGCAAUUGAGUCAGUAAUGCCAGAAGAUGCCCUAAUUGGUGCUUGGAGAAGAUCUUCCCACAAUCUUUGGAUCAAAAGACUGCGCAGGGCUUCAACUUUAUCAGAGAUUUUACAGGUUCUUGCUGAUUUUGUCACUGCUAUCAAUGAGGACUGGUUGUGUGAAUCUGGUCAUACUUUGGGAUUGAAUUAUGACCCAGAAGAAAUUAUUGCAAGCUUUUCAAGCAUGCCCCGGACUUCAUCUGCAGUUGCAUUUUGGUUGGUCAAGUUGGAUGCCUUGAUCGCACCCCACUUGGAAAGUGUGCCCAUUAGCACCCUACAAGUCUAAAGUGUGUGCUAGAUCUAGCUAAUUGAAGGGGUAAAGACCUAUAAAUAAAUAAUUAAAUGAAAGGAGCCGAGAACACUGAAAUCUUCAGGCAAUGUGAUAUGCUUUCUGUCAUGCCCACUUAGGCUUGUUGUAAAAAUUUCGUUUUGGAUUAUUACAACCCUUUCCUGCUGAAUAUUUGACGCAGUCGAUCUUCACCAGUCGUCUGACACAUGCUUGAUAUGCUUUGACAUUUCAGGUAGGUUGUUUCAAACAGGUCAAUAUUCUUUAGUUUCCCGGAUAAAGAAUACAUGGUUUGUAUCCAUCAAACUUCUUUGUGCCAAAAUUAAGAUACUUGGAGAGAAGGUUAUUCCUAUCAUUAUCCCUGACGGAAUCAUGCUGCUUAUGGCUACAAGUGCAACAGAAAGCUUUAUGAUUUUUUGGAAAGUAAAGCAGAAAAUACGGCAGUUCAGCAAUCGGUUUAACAACUGAAGCUGAUAUAUGUACAAUGUUAUUUCGCGACAUCCAUUUUUGUUAUCAUCACUAUACCUAGUAUACAUGAGUUCUUCUUGAAUGUAAAUAGUAGUGCAGGUCUCUUCCUCAUCUUCAAUCUUCAACCCAAUUUUGGUGUAUUAGAACUCACUCUUGAUUUCUUCACAUGUAUUAGCUCAUUCCUUGUAUGAUAAAACUGUUAUACAGGUUUCUCUUAGCGGCAAUAUAAUAAAAUUUAGUGGGGCAAUUCGAUGCCUUCGUUUCAGA